CAGCCGCCGCGGGAAAACGUAGGUGGCAAGCGUUGUCCGGAAUUAUUGGGCGUAAAGGGCUCGCAGGCGGUUUCUUAAGUCUGAUGUGAAAGCCCCCGGCUCAACCGGGGAGGGUCAUUGGAAACUGGGAAACUUGAGUGCAGAAGAGGAGAGUGGAAUUCCACGUGUAGCGGUGAAAUGCGUAGAGAUGUGGAGGAACACCAGUGGCGAAGGCGACUCUCUGGUCUGUAACUGACGCUGAGGCGCGAAAGCGUGGGGAGCAAACAGGAUUAGAUACCCGCGUAGUCCCUGUCUCUUAUAC
rnacentral:rRNA from 1 species